rfam:Triticum urartu cultivar G1812 contig937095, whole genome shotgun sequence.
GAAGUAAUCCCUCCGUCCGGAAAUACUUGUCAUCAAAAUGAAUAAAAAAGAAUAUAUCUAGAGUUCUAGAUACAUCCUUUUUGUCCAUGUUGAUGACGAGUAUUUUCGGACGGAGGUAUCGUAAC